AAUUGACGGGACCGCACAAGCGGUGGAUGAUGUGGAUUAAUUCGAUGCAACGCGAAAAACCUUACCUACCCUUGACAUGUCCGACGUAAUCCCUGAGAGGAUUGGGAGUAGCUUCGGACUGGACACAGGUGCUGCAUGGCUGUCGUCAGCUCGUGUCGUGAGAUGUUGGGUUAAGUCCCGCAACGAGCGCAACCCUUGUCAUUAGUUGCUACAUUCAGUUGGGCACUCUAAUGAGACUGCCGGUGACAAGCCGGAGGAAGGUGGGGAUGACGUCAAGUCCUCAUGGCCCUUAUAGGUGGGGCUACACACGUCAUACAAUGGCUGGUACAAAGGGUUGCCAACCCGCGAGGGGGAGCCAAUCCCAUAAAGCCAGUCGUAGUCCGGAUCGUAGUCUGCAACUCGACUACGUGAAGUCGGAAUCGCUAGUAAUCGUGGAUCAGAAUGUCACGGUGAAUACGUUCCCGGGCCUU
rnacentral:rRNA from 1 species